GAGGAUGUGGCUCAGUGGUAGAGCACUUGCCUAGCAAGUGGCAGGCACAGGCCUCUGUUUCAAACACACACAUACCCC
rnacentral:tRNA from 1 species